UACGUAGGGUGCAAGCGUUGUCCGGAAUUAUUGGGCGUAAAGAGCUCGUAGGCGGCUUGUCGCGUCGGCUGUGAAAACCUGGGGCUCAACCUCCGGCCUGCAGUGGGUACGGGCAAACUAGAGUGCGGUAGGGGAGAUUGGAAUUCCUGGUGUAGCGGUGAAAUGCGCAGAUAUCAGGAGGAACACCGGUGGCGAAGGCGGGUCUCUGGGCCGUAACUGACGCUGAGGAGCGAAAGCGUGGGGAGCGAACAGG
rnacentral:rRNA from 1 species